ACAGUGGCCGACGCGGGUCGAAGUUUAAGCAUCUGUUCUUAUCAGCUUAAUAUCUAAUACGGGCUUGUAUUUGGAACCAAGUUAUUAAAUUUAUUUUUGGAAAUUGGCGCAAAGCUUGAAGCCUGCUUCACCUCCGCCACGGGUUGGCCCGGUAUUUCACUAUCUUCAGGGAUCGGCCCACGUUUU